rnacentral:rRNA from 1 species
GAUGAACGCUAGCUACAGGCUUAACACAUGCAAGUCGAGGGGCAGCAUCGCGAUAGCUUGCUAUUGCGGAUGGCGACCGGCGCACGGGUGAGUAACGCGUAUCCAACCUUCCCGCAACUGGGGAAUAACCUUGCGAAAGUAAGACUAAUACCCCAUGGUCUCCACGGAUGGCAUCUGAAAUGGAGUAAAGGUUUCGGCCGGUUGCGGAUGGGGAUGCGUCCGAUUAGCUUGACGGCGGGGUAACGGCCCACCGUGGCAUCGAUCGGUAGGGGUUCUGAGAGGAAGGUCCCCCCACAUUGGAACUGAGACACGGUCCAAAACUCCUACGGGAGGCAGCAGUGAGGAAUAUUGGUCAAUGGGCGGAAGCCUGAACCAGCCAAGUAGCGUGAAGGAAGACGGUCCUACGGAUUGUAAACCUCUUUUGUCGGGGAGUAACGUGCGGGACGGGUCCCGUAUUGAGAGUACCCGAAGAAAAAGCAAUCGGCUAACUCCGUG